UUCUCUUUUUUCUUCUCUUUUAUUUCCUCCCCUGUUCUUCGUCCUGCGAGAGCUUUGUGAGGUGUGAGUGAUUAUAGUUUGGUGACGAUUAUAUAAUGAUGCAGUUAGAUGACGGGGAAGAUAGUUUGGUUGUUGUGUAUGAAGCAAAACAGUUAGGGUUCGAAUCUGAGACGAUCUGAAUUAGGGUUAUAAUUUGAUUUAGGUUCUGAAGAUUUUAAGGAUGAAAUUUAAAGUUGUGGUUGAUUAAAGAACAAAGGGUUAUCUUUUAAUUGAAGUUUAGAAGUGACUUGGAUGGAGAACUGAAAGGUUAGGGUUUAUGAAAAGAGUGGAAUCAAUUAGGGAAUUUUGGAGAAAUUGAAUAUGUAACUAGCUGAUUAAGAAUGGGUUUUAAGAAGAUGUUAUGAAGAAGAAGAUUAAUUUGAGAUUGUUGAAGUUAGUGUUUUGUUCUGUUUUAAUGAAGGUUUGGGAAUUUAAUUAGGUUUUGGUGAGAACUAGUGUUGCUGAUGAAGGCUGGGGAUCGAGUAUGUCAGUAAAAGGAUGUUGAAAUUAUUAUUGGUGUUGAUUCAGAUGUUGAAUAAAAUUCUGGAAGUAUGGGAAAGUUGUAAAUGAGAAUUCUAGAAUUGCAGUUGCAGAUUGAUGAUAUUGGGGUUUGAGUUAUGAUGAUGAGUUCUGAGUAGUAUUGAGAUGUGUUAGUGAACCAGAAUCCAUGUGAGAAGCAGAAUUUGAACUCAAUUGCUUGAGUAGCACAGAUUGGAGGUAAUUAUCAUUUUAAGUUAACCUUGUAAAGCUUUGCAUUUUGAUUGUUGUGGAUGUAUGAAUAUGGAGCUCUAUAGGUAUGCUUAGGAAAUUACAGGUAUUGGUCUUGUCUGUUAAAUGAUAAAGUUGGCAGGCUUGUACAGUAGGUGUUGUUGUAAGAAAUGAGAUGAAAUUACAGGGAAGUGAAACUAAAUGAUUAUGGUGAGUGUGUUAUGGAGAUGUGGUAAGUAUAUUACACUUACAUUGAACUACAAGGAACAUGAAAUGGAUGUUAUUGUUGAGCUUUGUAUUGGUUGAAGUUCGUUUGAAUGGUUGUUUGUAGAGUUGAGAGGUAGUGGUGUUGUUUUGAAGUGAGCUUAUUCAAGAAGAACUGAACUGAGAUUUCUCUCAAGGAAGUAAUCUGGUGUUGGUGGAGAGUGGUGAACUGAGUAUGAAUUGUUAGUAUCUCUGGUGGGCGAUUGUGUAGUGAAUGGGUGGUUGUUCAAAGAAUGAAGACUUUGUUGGUAAAUUUAGAGUUCAGUUUGAGUGGUGUUGUGAGCUGGGAGGAUUGGAUAUUGUAGGUAGUAUGGGAUUGAGCAAAUGAAGAAUAUUUGGAAUGGGGAUUUAGGAUUGUAGAUAGUGCUUGCUGUGAAAGCUUGGAAAAGCUGCAGUUGCAGUUAAUCUAUAUUAACAACGAUCGAUUCAAAGGAUGAACUAGUGGAUCGUGGAUAUCGAGGUAGGCGUGGCUUGUCAUCUAAAGAGUUUCAGAGACAGAUCAGAAUUGCGUAGUGAAAGCUUCGAAGAUUUUACUCCGUUAAUUAGAUUACUUUUACUCUGUUUAUUAUAUUGCAUAUCGUAUUUGUAAACCAAAUGACUAUUGUACAUGUAUCAUAUGAGAGGAGUUCUUGUAUAUAUAUAUAUAUUUCUGAGCGGGGCUAGUUUUGGG